rnacentral:rRNA from 1 species
AGAACGAACGCUGGCGGCAUGCCUAAUACAUGCAAGUCGAACGAACUCUUCGGAGUUAGUGGCGCACGGGUGCGUAACGCGUGGGAAUCUGCCCUUGGGUUCGGAAUAACAGUUGGAAACGACUGCUAAUACCGGAUGAUGACGUAAGUCCAAAGAUUUAUCGCCCAAGGAUGAGCCCGCGUAGGAUUAGCUAGUUGGUGGGGUAAAGGCCUACCAAGGCGACGAUCCUUAGCUGGUCUGAGAGGAUGAUCAGCCACACUGGGACUGAGACACGGCCCAGACUCCUACGGGAGGCAGCAGUAGGGAAUAUUGGACAAUGGGCGAAAGCCUGAUCCAGCAAUGCCGCGUGAGUGAUGAAGGCCUAGGUGUAAAGCUCUUUACCCGAGAUGAUAAUGACAGUAUCGGAGAAUAAGCCCGGCUAACUCCGUGCUAGCAGCCGC